rnacentral:rRNA from 1 species
GCACAGCCAUAAACUUUGAUAGAAAACUACAAAUUCUAUCCGCCCGGGAACUACGAGCAUAAGCUUAAAACCCAAAGGACUUGGCGGUGCUUUAGACCCCCCUAGAGGAGCCUGUUCUAGAACCGAUAACCCCCGUUAGACCUCACCUUUUCUUGUCUAUCCCGCCUAUAUACCGCCGUCGUCAGCUUACCCUGUGAAGGAUUAAUAGUAAGCAAAACUGGUAAAACCCAAAACGCCAGGUCGAGGUGUAGCAUACGAAAAGGAAAGAAAUGGGCUACAUUUCCUUCCCCCAGGAAACACGAAUUGUGCUAUGAAAUAACACAUGAAGGUGGAUUUAGCAGUAAGCAGAAAACAGAGAGUUCCGCUGAAACCGGCCCUGAAGCGCGC